rnacentral:rRNA from 1 species
GAUGAACGCUGGCGGCGUGCAUAACACAUUCAAGUCGAACGGACGUUAUUCCUUCGGGAGUAACGUUAGUGGCGGACGGGUGAGUAACACGUGAGCAACCUGCCCCCUGCAUGGGAAUAACGCAUGGAAACGUGCGCUAAUACCGAAUGAAACGUAGGUACGGCAUCGUAUUUACGUCAAAGGAGAAAUCCGGCAAGGGAUGGGCUCGCGUCCGAUUAGUUAGUUGGUGAGGUAACGGCUCACCAAGACUACGAUCGGUAACCGGACUGAGAGGUCGAACGGUCACAUUGGAACUGAGAAACGGUCCAGACUCCUACGGGAGGCAGCAGUGGGGAAUAUUGGGCAAUGGGCGAAAGCCUGACCCAGCGACGCCGCGUGAAGGAAGAAGGUCUUCGGAUUGUAAACUUAUGUCGGGGGGGAAGAAAAAAAUGACGGUACCCCCGGAGGAAGCCACGGCUAACUACGUGCCAGCAGCCGCGGUAAUACGUAGGUGGCGAGCGUUAUCCGGAAUUACUGGGUGUAAAGGGUGUGUAGGCGGCUUCGCAAGUCAGAGGUUAAAGGUAUGGGCUCAACCCAUACAUGCCUUUGAAACUGCGGGGCUUGAGUGUCGGAGAGGUAAGCGGAAUUCCCAGUGUAGCGGUAAAAUGCGUAGAUAUUGGGAGGAACACCAGUGGCGAAGGCGGCUUACUGGACGACAACUGACGCUGAGACACGAAAGCGUGGGGAGCAAACAGGAUUAGAUACCCUGGUAGUCCACGCCGUAAACGAUGAAUGCUAGGUGUAGGGGGGGAUACCUUCUGUGCCGCAGUAAACACAAUAAGCAUUCCACCUAGGGAGUACGGCCGCAAAGGUUGAAACUCAAAGGAAUUGACGGGAGCCCGCACAAGCAGUGGAGUAUGUUGUUUAAAUUCGACGCAACGCGAAGAACCCUUACCAGGUCUUGGACAUCCCAAGAAAGCGCCCGUAAAUGGGCGCCGU